GGAACUACUGUGACAACCAGGAGGUUGGCUUAGAAGCAGCCAUCCUUGAAAGAAUGCGUAACAGCGCACUGGUCAAGUGGUUCUGCACGGAAAAGGUAACGGGGCUAAGCCUAGCACCGAAGCCAUGGGCCUCAGCAUUUGCUGGGGCGGUCGGCGAGCGCUCUGUCUGCCGUGAAGGUCGAUCGAAAGGACGGCUGGAGCGGGCAGAAGUGAGAAUGCAGGUAUGAGUAGCGUAAAACAUGUGAGAACCAUGUUCGCCGUAAGUCUGAGGUUUCCGACGGCAGGUCAAUCCGCGUCGGGUUAGUCGGGCCUUAGCCGAGGCCGAAAGGCGUAGGCGAUGGACAUCCGGUCAACAUUCCGGAACCGCUCAAUAGGAGCGAUGGGGGGACGCAACGAGGUAGACCAGCCUGUGAUUGGAUUCAGGUGUAAGUGCGUAGGCGUUGAGGUCCGCAGGUAAAUCCACGGACUGAGCUGAGGCACGAAUACGAGCCCUUGAGGUAGAAGUGGUUGAGCCUUGUUGCCGAGAAAAGCCUCUAAGCGAUGAUUAUUGAGCGCCCGUACCGUAAACCGACACUGGUAGACGGGUAGAGAAUACCAAGGCGAACGGGAGAACCCUCGUUAAGGAACUCGGCAAAUUAACCCCGUAACUUCGGGAGAAGGGGUGCCUUUUGACGUGAAAGUAAAUCUACUGGAGCGUUGAGGGGCCGCAGUGAAAUGGAUCUAAUGACUGGUUAACAAAACCACAGGUCUCUGCAAAGUCGUAAGACGAUGUAUAGGGGCUGACACCUGCCCAGUGCCUGAAGGUCAAAGGGAGGGGUUAGCUGUAAAGCGAAGCUCUGAACUCAAGCCCAGGUGAACGGCGGCCGUAACUAUAACGGUCCUAAGGUAGCGAAAUUCCUUGUCGGGUAAGUUCCGACCCGCACGAAUGGUGUAACAAUUGGAUCACUGUCUCAACGAGGGACCCGGUGAAAUUGAAGUACGUGUAAAGAUGCGGGUUGCCCGCAGCAGGACAAAAGGGCCCCGGGGAGCUUUACUGUAGCUUGACAUUGUGUUUGGGUAUAGUUUGUGUAGUAUAGGUGGGAGGCUUUGAAGCUGGCACGUCAGUGUCGGUGGAGCCAUCAGUGAAAUAACACCCUGACUAUAUCUAGGCACUAACCUCACGCCGUAAUGCGGGUGAGGGACCGUGUCAGGUGGGCAGUUUGACUGGGGUGGUCGCCUCCCAAAGAGUAACGGAGGCGCCCAAAGGUUCCCUCAGGCUGAAUGGCAACCAGCCGUAGAGUGUAAAGGCACAAGGGAGCUUGACUGUGAGACAUACACGUCGAGCAGAUACGAAAGUAGGGCUUAGUGAUCCCACGGUACCGAGUGGAAGGGCCGUGGCUUACCGGAUAAAAGCUACCCCGGGGAUAACAGGCUAGUCUGGUCCAAGAGUUCACAUCGACGACCAGGCUCGGCACCUCGAUGUCGGCUCAUCGCAUCCUGGGGCUGGAUAAGGUCCCAAGGGUUGGGCUGUUCGCCCAUUAAAGCGGUACGCGAGCUGGGUUCAGACCGUCGUGAGACAGGUCGGUCUCUAUCCGCUGUGGGCGUAAGGAAUUUGAGAGGAGCUGCUCCUAGUACGAGAGGACCGGAGUGGACAAACCUCUGGUGUGCCAGGUGUUCCGCCAGGAGCAUCGCUGGGUAGCCACGUUUGGCAGGGAUAACCGCUGAAAGCAUCUAAGCGGGAAGCUCGCCUCAAGAUAAGAUUCCUCAUCCCGUUAAGGGAGUAAGUCCGCAAGAAGACUACUUGCUUGAUAGGCAGCAUGUGUAAGCACAGCAAUGUGUUCAGCUAAGCUGUACUAAUGGUCGAGGGCUUAACUCC
rnacentral:rRNA from 1 species